AGAGUUUGAUCAUGGCUCAGAGCGAACGCUGGCGGCAGGCCUAACACAUGCAAGUCGAACGAACCCUUCGGGGUUAGUGGCGGACGGGUGAGUAACACGUGGGAACGUACCUUUAGGUUCGGAACAACACAGGGAAACUUGUGCUAAUGCCGAAUGUGCCCUUCGGGGGAAAGAUUUAUCGCCUUUAGAGCGGCCCGCGUCUGAUUAGCUUGUUGGUGAGGUAAAGGCUCACCAAGGCUACGAUCAGUAGCUGGUCUGAGAGGAUGAUCAGCCACACUGGGACUGAGACACGGCCCAGACUCCUACGGGAGGCAGCAGUGGGGAAUCUUGCGCAAUGGGCGAAAGCCUGACGCAGCCAUGCCGCGUGAAUGAUGAAGGUCUUAGGAUUGUAAAAUUCUUUCACCGGGGAAGAUAAUGACGGUACCCGGAGAAGAAGCCCCGGCUAACUUCGUG
rnacentral:rRNA from 1 species